UGGGGAAUAUUGGACAAUGGGCGCAAGCCUGAUCCAGCCAUGCCGCGUGAGUGACGAAGGCCUUAGGGUUGUAAAGCUCUUUUGGCGGGGAAGAUAAUGACGGUACCCGCAGAAUAAGCUCCGGCUAACUUCGUGCCAGCAGCCGCGGUAAUACGAAGGGAGCUAGCGUUGUUCGGAAUCACUGGGCGUAAAGCGCACGUAGGUGGGCAGUUAAGUCAGGGGUGAAAGCCCGAGGCUCAACCUCGGAAUUGCCUCUGAUACUGGCUGUCUAGAGUUCGAGAGAGGUGAGUGGAAUUCCUAGUGUAGAGGUGAAAUUCGUAGAUAUUAGGAAGAACACCGGUGGCGAAGGCGGCUCACUGGCUCGAUACUGACACUGAGGUGCGAAAGCGUGGGGAGCAAACAGGAUUAGAUACCCCCGUAGUCCCUGAGCGGGCUGGCAAGGCGCAU
rnacentral:rRNA from 1 species